UUCAAGAAAAAGAGGAAAAAAUUCAAAAGGUUGUGGGGUUCAAGAAAAGCAAAAAAAUAUAAUAAUAAUCCCCAACGGAGCGCAAAUUGUUCGUCUGUUCUUGGUAUUCAAUCACUCUUCACCCUGAUCAUCUGAAAGCCGAGGCUAUUCAUAUCGACAGGUUCACAAUGGAUUGAAUAGGGGCAGCUGUAACACCUCAAAAUUUGCCCUCCUCUUCUUGGGACUAG
rnacentral:lncRNA from 1 species